rnacentral:lncRNA from 1 species
UUCUGAAUAAAAUAUUUUUUAGCUUUUUCUUUCUUUUACAUAUAUCUUUUGGUUUACAAUACUAGUGUUUAUAUUCAUUUACCAUGCAUAGAUGUAUUUUUUCACCUGCUUGGAUUUAUUUUGUAAAUGAUCGUCAAACCCGGAAUUAUCCUUAUCCGCUUCCGGGAUCGGAUCCGAUUUUGUAAAAUUUUGUCUUCACGGCCGCCAUUGUUAUGUGUUUACAAUGUUGUUUUUGUCAAUCAGAUACGAUUUUACUCGAAUUUAUACAAUAUUUGUCGGCGAUUUUCUGUAUAAAGCUAGCGGUUGAACAAAAUGAACAUCGCCGUCACGAAUAACAAUGAUAAAAAUAAGUUUUUAGCUCGUUUAAAUGGAGACUUUGGUGAACAUGGUGCCGAAAAGGUUUGCAAAGUAAUUUCUUAUUUUCUUUCAAAUGUAAGGCGACUAGAAACCAACUAUCCUAGUCGAAAUUCCGCUUGCAAAAGUGGAAGGUCUCGGACCACCGCUAAUUUGCACACCUGCCUCCAAAUUGAAAAGCUACGAAAAUUUCUUUUUCUAAUUUGAAAUUGCCGCCAACAGCAUGAACAGUUGAAUUAUAUAAUAGACUACUGACGUAGUUGUACUACGUAUUGAUGACAAACAAUAUUCCUACGACUUUUGUCAUUUGGGAAAUCUAAACUGCUUGUCUUAAGAGAUUUUCGGCGAUUAAAUAUUUCAUACAAUUGUUCUUUGACAUCUUAGCUAAAAGCACGAGUCAUAAUGAACUACACAAGGAUUUUUAAUAAGCACUACUUCCUAUGUGUAACUUUAAAACUUUUGGAUAAAUCGACGAUCAUUUAAGGUUUUUCUGGUCAUUUUUUUUGUAAUCCAGAAUAAAAAGUAUUAAAAAAG